CCGCAAGGGAAACUGGAAGAACCGCCGCACCAAGAGCGUCACAGACGAGGACGUCGACGAACUCAAAGCCUGCAUCGAAUUGGGCUUCGGAUUCGAUUCCUCCCCGGAGGUCGAGCUCGAUCGCCGCCUCUCCGAUACCUUACCCGCUCUCGGCCUCUACUACGCCGUCAACAAAAACUACAACGAAUCCCUCGUCUCCAAACCCACGCCGUCCUCCUCCGCCGCCGCCUCCGAUUGCGACGAC
rnacentral:lncRNA from 1 species